UGCAUCAUAGGUAACGUCUUGGAUUCCUCUCCACAUCUUCAAGCAGAAGGCACUGAAUGUAAUGCAGGGAUAUUUAAAACACCAAAGACAUAGUAGGAAACUAUAUGAGUCCUCCACCUCCUGCAGCUAUUACCUGCCUAGCAAGUCAUGCUACAGCACUGCCACACAUGCUGCUGAUGCCACUCUCCC